GCCUAGGCAGUAAGAGGGCGAUGAAGGACGUUGUAGCAUGCGAUAAGCCGCGGGGAGUUUGCAAACUAACCCCUGAUCCGCGGAUUUCCGAAUGGGGAAACCCACCUGAGAUCACUCAGGUAUCGUGCAGUGAAUACAUAGCUGCAUGAAGCGAACCCGGAGAACUGAAACAUCUAAGUACCCGGAGGAAAAGAAAUCAACCGAGAUUCCCUUAGUAGCGGCGAGCGAACGGGGAUUAGCCCUUAAGUUGUAUAGUGUUAGUGGAACAGUCUGGAAAGUCUGGCGAUACAGGGUGAUAGCCCCGUACACGAAAACCUAUUACAGUGAAAACGAGUAGGUCGGAGCACGUGAAACUUUGACUGAACAGUGGGGGGACCACUCCUCCAAGGCUAAAUACUCCUUAC
rnacentral:rRNA from 1 species